CUUUCACAAUUCACAUUCCCUUCUCUCAUUUCGAUAUCUCAGUAAUAACCAUGGCUGGUUUGGAAUCCAUUUCCACCGUUUUCUGCUUCCUCUUCUUCUCCUUCACCGCUUUGUUCUCUCUCUUCUCCCUGCUUGUAUUUAUUCUCCGGCUCCGGCCCUGGUGCAACUGCCACGUCUGCCGGAACUUCCUGACCUCGAGCUGGACCAAAGACUUCGACAACUUCUGUGACUGGUACACCCAUCUGCUGAGGAAGUCUCCGACGGGGACUAUCCACCUCCACGUCCUCGGCAACAUCGUCACUUCCAACCCGGAAAACGUGGAGCACAUCCUCAAAACCAGGUUCGACAACUACCCCAAAGGCAAGCCGUUCACUGUGAUCCUCGGCGAUCUUUUGGGCCGCGGGAUCUUCAACGUCGACGGCGACACGUGGCGGUUCCAGCGCAAGAUGGCCAGUCUGGAGCUCGGCAGCCUCUCCGUUCGGUCCCACGCGCUCGAGGUCGUCGCCGCCGAGAUUCACUCCAGGCUGAUUCCGCUGCUCGCCUCGGUUUCCGGGAAGGAGUCAAACGGCGGCGUUUUGGAUCUGCAAGACGUGUUUCGGCGAUUCUCGUUCGACAACAUAUGUAAGUUCUCUUUCGGAUUGGACCCGGGAUGUCUCGAGCCGUCUCUGCCCGCUUCGAAAUUCGCGGAUGCGUUUGACCUGGCGUCGAAGCUGUCGGCCGAGCGUGCGAUGACGUCAUCGCCGGUGCUUUGGAAAAUCAAGCGGUUUUUCAACGCCGGCUCCGAAAAGCAGCUCAAGGAAGCAGUUACAAUGAUCGAUGAUUUGGCCAAAGAGAUGAUACGACAGCGUCGGGAAAUGGGCUUUGGCGCCAAAAACGACCUCUUGUCGCGAUUCAUGGCCACCGUCGACGACGAUAAGUACCUGAGAGACAUAGUCGUCAGCUUUCUCCUUGCGGGCCGUGACACCAUCUCGUCCGGGUUGACCAGCCUGUUCUAUUUACUGUCCCAACACCCGGAAGUGACGCAGGCCAUAAGGGAGGAGUCCGAUCGGGUCAUGGGUCGGGCCGGAGCAACCCCGAGCUUUGAACAGAUGCGGGAAAUGCAUUACUUGCAUGCAGUGCUUUACGAGACAAUGAGGCUGUUCCCGCCGGUGCAAUUCGAUUCCAAGUUUUGUCAGGAAGACGAUGUGUUACCUGAUGGUACUUUUGUCAAGAGUGGCACUAGAGUUACCUACCAUCCCUACGCAAUGGGCAGGAUGGAGAGCAUUUGGGGACCCGAUUGCCUCGAUUUCAAGCCGGAGAGGUGGUUGAAGAACGGGAUUUACUCACCGGAGAGCUCCUACAGGUACCCGGUUUUUCAGGCCGGGGAGAGGGUGUGCUUGGGCAAGGAGUUGGCUCUGGUGGAGAUGAAAUGCGUCGCCGUUGCCCUUAUUAGGAGGUUCGAUAUUCAGGUUUCACAACCCGGUCAGGCCCCCCGGUUCGCGCCGGGUCUCACGGCCACCGUAAGAGGCGGGCUACCAGUUCGAGUUGAAGAAAGGGAAGGCUAGGGACGCCUAGGGUAGCUGGCGCAAUGUUCAUGCAGAUAUGUUGCUUAGCUAAAACUUUCAUUUGCCUUUCAGGGGCAAGUUAGCGUCUAGGGCAUUAGAUGAAUGCUAACUUAGACCAACCCUUGGGCAAAAUAUUUAAGCAGUAGUAGCCCGGUACAUAUUUUAAUCUAAUGAAGAAGCAUGAAUCCUAUGAAUGUUUUCCGAAGUAAGGAAAGAAAUAAGAGCAAAAGGAAGGAAAUAUGUGCAAAUAAUGGAGAAUUGUAGACUCUUGAUGAAUCAAGGAAGCUUAAAGCAACAUGAAGAAAAAGAUAUUCAACAAUUAAUUCUCUUGGCUGCUCCUAUUGGAUAGAAUGAUGUCAAUUAAUCCUAAAUCAAUAAGAACAUAACUAAGGGGAUUACCGUUGAAGCCAAGGAGUGAGAGUCCCAAAAGGAAAGAAGGAAAGAGUUACAAACUGAAAAAAAUCUCUCCUUGGAUGUUGAAGAACCAGAUCAUCUCACAUACGAAGAACCAUAGACGCACCAGAGCUGGAGGAGAACCAAGACUGCAGAAUCACACCAGAAAUGAUCGAUCAUUGGAAUUUCCGAGAUCGAUCGCCGAUCUGUAUUUUCUAAUU